rnacentral:rRNA from 1 species
GAGAACUUGAACACAGGUGCUGCAUGGCCGUCGUCAGCUCGUGUCGUGAGAUGUUGGGUUAAGUCCCGCAACGAGCGCAACCCUUGUCAUUAGUUGCUACGCAAGAGCACUCUAAUGAGACUGCCGGUGACAAACCGGAGGAAGGUGGGGAUGACGUCAGGUCCUCAUGGCCCUUAUGGGUAGGGCUACACACGUCAUACAAUGGCCGGUACAGAGGGCUGCCAACCCGCGAGGGGGAGCCAAUCCCAGAAAACCGGUCGUAGUCCGGAUCGUAGUCUGCAACUCGACUGCGUGAAGUCGGAAUCGCUAGUAAUCGUGGAUCAGCAUGUCACGGUGAAUACGUUCCCGGGUCUUGUACACACCGCCCGUCACACCAUGGGA